AGGAAGCGGGUCAAACUGUUGGGGGAAGAGGUACUUAUCUGUGGAACUUGAAAUUCUUAUUAUAUAUAUCUUUUACCAUUAUGCUCAAUAGUUUAAAAUCCAACUUUUUAUUCUUUGGCCUCACCUGAGAUGCCUGCAAUAGACUUGCUUCAGUCAUGUAAUUGGUUUGUUGAAUGUCGCUUAAUUACAGUGGAGCUUGUCAUUUAUGUUGUCACCUUGUCUUGCAACAUCUAUUUCAAGUUUAAAAUUCUUUGCAAACCCCAUGACCGCGCAUCCUUAGCACCGUCGGUCCCCGUACACUGUAAAUCAGCACCGUCACAGCCACUAAUAGCUUUCUGCUUUGUUUUCUGACAAAGGACUUUACAUCCGUGAGGCACACGUGUUCUCAACUACUGGUGGUUAUUCUUUGGAUGUAUUUGUGGUGGAUGGAUGGCCUGUUGAGGAUACAAAGGGAUUAUGUGAAGCUAUGGACAAAGCAAUUGCUAGAAAUGAGACUGAUAAGGAACACUGUUGGAAGUGGAUCAUUCCCACCGCAAUUGCGGAUACACUGUCACAAGCAUGAAUUGUCUUAUUGAGAUUGUCUACAUCUCAAUCCAUGCAGUUUCCUUCAAUUUGGUAUGGCCAUACUCUAAUGUUGAACUUGUGCUGAGUUAAAAUGUGUUUUUGUUUUCACAAUUAAUUGAGGUAGAAUUUCACUUGUCUUGUGUAAUUAUAAUCUAUAUUAUGUGAUGCAGUACUAACAUAAAAAUAUACGUUCUUG